rnacentral:rRNA from 1 species
UACAGAGGUCUCAAGCGUUGUUCGGAUUCAUUGGGCGUAAAGGGUGCGUAGGUGGCGCGGUAAGUCGGGUGUGAAAUCUCGGAGCUUAACUCCGAAAUUGCAUUCGAUACUGCCGUGCUUGAGGACUGGAGAGGAGACUGGAAUUCAUGGUGUAGCAGUGAAAUGCGUAGAGAUCAUGAGGAAGACCAGUGGCGAAGGCGGGUCUCUGGACAGUUCCUGACACUGAGACACGAAGGCCAGGGGAGCAAGCGGG